CCUUCGGGGUACACGAGCGGCGAACGGGUGAGUAACACGUGGGUGAUCUGCCUUGCACUUCGGGAUAAGCCUGGGAAACUGGGUCUAAUACCGGAUAUGACCUCGGGAUGCAUGUUCUGGGGUGGAAAGAUUUAUCGGUGCGAGAUGGGCCCGCGGCCUAUCAGCUUGUUGGUGAGGUAACGGCUCACCAAGGCGACGACGGGUAGCCGACCUGAGAGGGUGACCGGCCACACUGGGACUGAGACACGGCCCAGACUCCUACGGGAGGCAGCAGUGGGGAAUAUUGCACAAUGGGCGAAAGCCUGAUGCAGCGACGCCGCGUGCGGGAUGACGGCCUUCGGGUUGUAAACCGCUUUUGACAGGGACGAAGCGCAAGUGACUGUACCUGUAGAAUAAGGACCGGCCAACUACGUGCCAGCAGCCGCGGUAAUACGUAGGGUCCGAGCGUUGUCCGGAAUUACUGGGCGUAAAGAGCUUGUAGGCGGUUCGUCGCGUCGUUUGUGAAAACUUGGGGCUCAACCUUAAGCUUGCAGGCGAUACGGGCGGACUAGAGUACUUCAGGGGAGACUGGAAUUCCUGGUGUAGCGGUGAAAUGCGCAGAUAUCAGGAGGAACACCGGUGGCGAAGGCGGGUCUCUGGGAAGUAACUGACGCUGAGAAGCGAAAGCAUGGGUAGCAAACAGGAUUAGAUACCCUGGUAGUCCAUGCCGUAAACGGUGGGUACUAGGUGUGGGGCUCCUUCCACGGACUCCGUGCCGUAGCUAACGCAUUAAGUACCCCGCCUGGGGAGUACGGCCGCAAGGCUAAAACUCAAAGAAAUUGACGGGGGCCCGCACAAGCGGCGGAGCAUGUGGAUUAAUUCGAUGCAACGCGAAGAACCUUACCUGGGUUUGACAUACACCGGAAACCUGCAGAGAUGUAGGCCCCCUUGUGGUCGGUGUACAGGUGGUGCAUGGCUGUCGUCAGCUCGUGUCGUGAGAUGUUGGGUUAAGUCCCGCAACGAGCGCAACCCUUAUCUUAUGUUGCCAGCGCGUAAUGGCGGGGACUCGUGAGAGACUGCCGGGGUCAACUCGGAGGAAGGUGGGGACGACGUCAAGUCAUCAUGCCCCUUAUGUCCAGGGCUUCACACAUGCUACAAUGGCCGGUACAGAGGGCUGCGAGACCGUGAGGUGGAGCGAAUCCCUUAAAGCCGGUCUCAGUUCGGAUCGGGGUCUGCAACUCGACCCCGUGAAGUUGGAGUCGCUAGUAAUCGCAGAUCAGCAACGCUGCGGUGAAUACGUUCCCGGGCCUUGUACACACCGCCCGUCACGUCAUGAAAGUCGGUAACACCCGAAGCCGGUGGCCUAA
rnacentral:rRNA from 1 species